GACGAACGCUGGCGGCGUGCUUAACACAUGCAAGUCGAGCGGAAAGGCCACUUCGGUGGUACUCGAGCGGCGAACGGGUGAGUAACACGUGAGUAAUCUGCCCCUGGCUUUGGGAUAGCCACCGGAAACGGUGAUUAAUACCGGAUACGACCACUUCUCACAUGGGAUGGUGGUGGAAAGUUUUUUCGGCCAGGGAUGUGCUCGCGGCCUAUCAGCUUGAUGGUGAGGUAAUGGCUCACCAUGGCUUCGACGGGUAGCCGGCCUGAGAGGGUGACCGGGCACACUGGGACUGAGACACGGCCCAGACUCCGACGGGAGGCAGGAGUGGGGAAUAUUGGACAAUGGGCGGAAGCCUGAUCCAGCAACGCCGCGUGAGGGAUGACGGCCUUCGGGUUGUAAACCUCUUUCAGCAGGGACGAAGCGCAAGUGACGGUACCUGCAGAAGAAGCACCGGCCAACUACGUGCCAGCCGCCGCCGUAA
rnacentral:rRNA from 1 species